rnacentral:rRNA from 1 species
GCCGCGGUAAUACGGGGGAUGCAAGCGUUAUCCGGAAUCAUUGGGCGUAAAGCGCCUGUAGGUUGUUUAAUAAGUCCGUUGUUAAAGACUAGGGCUUAACCCUAGAAAAGCGAUGGAAACUACUAGACUUGAGUAUGGCAGGGGUAGAGGGAAUUUCUAGUGUAGCGGUGAAAUGCGUAGAUAUUAGAAAGAACACCGGUGGCGAAAGCGCUCUACUGGACCAUUACUGACACUCAGAGGCGAAAGCUAGGGUAGCAAAAGGGAUUAGAUACCCCUGUAGUCCUAGCCGUAAACGAUGGAUACUAGAUGUUGUAUAUAUUUUACAGUAUCGUAGCUAACGCGUUAAGUAUCCCGCCUGGGGAGUACGCUCGCAAGGGUGAAACUCAAAGGAAUUGACGGGGGCCCGCACAAGCGGUGGAGCAUGUGGUUUAAUUCGAUGCAACGCGAAGAACCUUACCAGGGCUUGACAUACUGCGAAUCUUUUUGAAAGGAAAGAGUGCCUUCGGGAAUGCAGAUACAGGUGGUGCAUGGCUGUCGUCAGCUCGUGUCGUGAGAUGUUGGGUUAAGUCCCGCAACGAGCGCAACCCUUAUUUUUAGUUACCAAUUUACUUGGGUUCUCUAGAAAGACUGCCGGUGACAAACCGGAGGAAGGUGAGGAUGACGUCAAGUCAGCAUGCCCCUUAUGUCCUGGGCUACACACGUGCUACAAUGGUUGGGACAAAGAGUUGCAAGUUUGCAAAAACAAGCUAAUCUCAUAAACCUAAC